GACGAACGCUGGCGGCGAGCUUAACACAUGCAAGUCGAACGGAAAGGCCCUGCUUUUGUGGGGUGCUCGAGUGGCGAACGGGUGAGUAACACGUGAGUAACCUGCCCUUGACUUUGGGAUAACUUCAGGAAACUGGGGCUAAUACCGGAUAGGAGCUCCUGCUGCAUGGUGGGGGUUGGAAAGUUUCGGCGGUUGGGGAUGGACUCGCGGCUUAUCAGCUUGUUGGUGGGGUAGUGGCUUACCAAGGCUUUGACGGGUAGCCGGCCUGAGAGGGUGACCGGCCACAGUGGGACUGAGAUACGGCCCAGACUCCUACGGGAGGCAGCAGUGGGGAAUAUUGCACAAUGGGCGGAAGCCUGAUGCAGCAACGCCGCGUGCGGGAUGACGGCCUUCGGGUUGUAAACCGCUUUCGCCUGUGACGAAGCGUGAGUGACGGUAAUGGGUAAAGAAGCACCGGCUAACUACGUG
rnacentral:rRNA from 1 species